rnacentral:hammerhead_ribozyme from 1 species
AUCUAGAUGACGAGUCCCAAAUAGGACUGAAUGAGCGUCCUAUAU